GAGACAUCCACAGUUGUACUAUGCUUUGAUGA
rnacentral:piRNA from 1 species